UGGGAAAUAUUGGACAAUGGGCGAAAGCCUGAUCCAGCCAUGCCGCGUGUGUGAAGAAGGUCUUCGGAUUGUAAAGCACUUUAAGUUGGGAGGAAGGGCAUUAACCUAAUACGUUAGUGUUUUGACGUUACCGACAGAAUAAGCACCGGCUAACUCUGUGCCAGCAGCCGCGGUAAUACAGAGGGUGCAAGCGUUAAUCGGAAUUACUGGGCGUAAAGCGCGCGUAGGUGGUUUGUUAAGUUGGAUGUGAAAUCCCCGGGCUCAACCUGGGAACUGCAUUCAAAACUGACUGACUAGAGUAUGGUAGAGGGUGGUGGAAUUUCCUGUGUAGCGGUGAAAUGCGUAGAUAUAGGAAGGAACACCAGUGGCGAAGGCGACCACCUGGACUAAUACUGACACUGAGGUGCGAAAGCGUGGGGAGCAAACA
rnacentral:rRNA from 1 species